rnacentral:rRNA from 1 species
UGUUUGAUCCUGGCUCAGAACGAACGCUGGCGGCAGGCUUCAUACAUGCAAGUCGCGCGAUUAAGACCCGCAAGGGUGAAUAAAGCGGCGAACGGGUGGGUAACAGGUGGAUAAUCUGCCCUUCGGCGGGGGACAACGGCUGGAAACGGCCGCUAAUACCGCAUGUGGUUGCCGGGACUCGGGUUCCGGCAAAGAAAGGAGCUGCAAGGCUCCACCGAAGGAUGAGUCCGCCCCCCAUUAGCUAGUUGGCGGGAUGAUAGCCCACCAAGGCUUUGAUGGGUAGCCGAGCUGAGAGGUUGAUCGGCCACACUGGAACUGAGACACGGUCCAGACACCUACGGGUGGCAGCAGUAGGGAAUAUUGGACAAUGGGCGAAAGCCUGAUCCAGCCAUGCCGCGUGAGUGACGAAGGCCUUCGGGUCGUAAAACUCUUUUCUGAGGGAAGAACAUGCCGGGGUAAGGAAAUGCCCCCGGCUUUGACGGUACCUCAGAAUAAGCACGUACUCCUG